rnacentral:misc_RNA from 1 species
GAUGAAGAACGCAGCGAAAUGCGAUAAGUAGUGUGAAUUGCAGAAUUCAGUGAAUCAUCGAAUCUUUGAACGCACAUUGCGCCCUUUAGUAUUCCAAAGGGCAUGCCUGUUCGAGCGUCAUUUGUACCCUCAAGCUUUGCUUGGUGUUGGGCGUCUGUCCCGCUUCGCGCGCGGACUCGCCCCAAAGGUAUUGGCAGCGGUCGUGCCAGCUUCUCGCGCAGCACAUUGCGCUUCUCGAGGCACCGGUGGGCCCGCGUCCAUCAAGCUCACCCCCCCAGUUUGACCUCGGAUCAGGUAGGGAUACCCGCUGAACUUAAGCAUAUCAAUAAGCGGAGGA